GUAGAGAUAGUUUAACAAAAACAUUAGAUUGUGAUUCUAAAAAUAGGAUAUGAUAUGCCUUAUCUACC
rnacentral:tRNA from 1 species